UACGGGGGGAGCAAGCGUUGUUCGGAUUUACUGGGCGUAAAGGGCGCGUAGGCGGCCACUGCAAGUCAGUUGUGAAAUCUCCGGGCUUAACCCGGAAAGGUCAACUGAUACUGCAGGGCUAGAGUGCAGAAGGGGCAACUGGAAUUCUCGGUGUAGCGGUGAAAUGCGUAGAGCUCGGGAAGAACAUCGGUGGCGAAAGCGCUCUACUGGACUGCAACUGACACUCAGGGACGAAAGCUAGGGGAGCGAAUGGG
rnacentral:rRNA from 1 species